AGGACGAACGCUGGCGGCGUGCUUAACACAUGCAAGUCGAGCGGAAAGGCCUUUCGGGGUACUCGAGCGGCGAACGGGUGAGUAACACGUGAGUAAUCUGCCCAUCGCUUCAGGAUAGCCAUCGGAAACGGUGAUUAAUACUGGAUAUGACAUUCCUUCGCAUGUUGGGGUGUGGUAAAGUUUUUUCGGCGGUGGAUGUGCUCGCGGCCUAUCAGCUUGUUGGUGGGGUAAUGGCCUACCAAGGUCUUUGACGGGUAGCCGGCCUGAGAGGGUGACCGGCCACACUGGGACUGAGACACGGCCCAGACCUCCGUACGGGAGCGAGCAGGUGGGGAAUAGUUGGACAAGUGGGACGGAAGCCGUGACUCCGAGACCAACCGCCGGCGUGGAGGGA
rnacentral:rRNA from 1 species